GGCCCUGUGGCCUAAUGGAUAAGGCGUCUGACUUCGAAUCAGAGGGUUGCAGGUUCGAGUCCUGUCAGGGUCG
rnacentral:tRNA from 1 species